ensembl:lncRNA
CGUCCGUCCCGCUCUGCGGACCCAAGGAGAGAAAGAUUCCUACACAGGUCUGUGUUCCCCCUCCUCAUGCAGAACUCCAUGAAAUGAAUAAAGCACCACAGCCUAUAGCAGGACCCCCGCACCCCGCCCCCCCCCGGCCUCCCACAGGCCAACUUUCCCCCUGGGCAACCUCCCUCCAUGGUCUUUGCCAGCCCACCGCCUCCACAAAUGAACCCCACACCUCAGCCCCGACAGUUCGCCCCCGGGCCCCGGCCUAUACACCAACAGGUACUAACACACACUCAACCUACCCCUAUUCUUCUUUCCUUCUUCACUGCAUGUCGUAGGUGGCUGUGGCGGGGCCCCACACACAUUUUGGGAG